UCUCUCCUCUCUCUCUCUGCACCUGUUCUGCAUCAUUCUAUGAUGGGUCACACAGGUGCAUCAGUUUAAUAUUGACACCAAUUAUCCAAUCAGCAAAGAGUGGUGUGACCUUCUAUGAAAGAGGCACUUUUAAGUGUUCUGUUGUCGGUUCCUUAUCAAGGCUGGUAAGGGGAAGCAAAUAAAAGUAUAUUUGCUCUGCCGUUAUUAACUUGGUUGGCUUUGAAGAAAGAAUAGUGCAGCAUUUGUUUUGUGAAUGUCUUUCAAGGAUGUCCAGUGUUAAACUGAGGAGUCCUGAACUGCUGUGGGCUGAUGACAUUUCUCGCCCUAGUCGGUGUGGGCGUCUCUUCAGUCAAGUGCAAUGGGUGUUUAGAAACUCACUUUUUGUAUCCCAACUACCACAAGCCUCUUCUGCAUUCUAUGAUUAUUCACACAGGUGUAUCACUUUAAUUUAAAAGGCAAAUCAGUCAGAAGUGGUUUGACCUAUGAAAGCAGCAGCCUGUUUUUUGUUGCCUUUCUGGCAUGGUUGCUGUCACCCUCUUGGGUCCUAAAGAAUGAGGCAGGGUUCUCAAGACGUUUUAUAAGGUAAAGAGUAAUUUUACAUAUUCUAAUGGACCCACUUGAUCCAAAACUUGUCUCUUAUCUUCACAAUGAUGACUUCCCAAGACCUCUGAAGUGCAUUUUGACAUGUACCUCAUGAUGAUUUCUACACUUGAACUGAGUGAAGGUCAAGUGAAGGUCAAGAACAGGCUAAGUGCUUUGACUAAUCUUGUGUUGACUAACCUUUUCUCUCCCUUUGUGUAGGCUCUGUUGGAUGAGGCCUCUGCUGUUUGCCACACUGAUGGCAGGACUUGCUGGGUUGCAGCAGUUCUACUUUACUUCAGUGUACAAUACCACUGUUAAUGUUGACUCCAUCCACACCCCCCCUCCUUUCCCCAGUAUUUCUGAAUGUUGUAUGAUCAUGGCUCAUGUUGUUGCACAAACUCACUGCUAUUUAAUUGCUCCAUGACCCAAUGUUGCCAACUUGCUUGUUAGUUAACCAGCAUAUUGGCAACCCAGUUAAAUGCAUAUUUGACCUCUGAACCUUUCCAUAUUGGACUUUCAUUGUAAAAUGCCACUGACUUACAUUUCAAUAGAUAUCCUGUGUGAAAGGUCAUGAGUUAUUAUUAUAAUCCUGUCACAGUUCUUGUGGCAGGUUUCCUGCUGACUGGCUUUACUGACAGAAUAUCCUGUAGGGGAGUCACUGCUCCCAUACUGAGUAUUGGUAGAUCUGACGCUUCAGAAUACUUGCGUUAAUUGUCUGCUUUUCUGUCACCAUCUUAAGUCCUAAAGAAUGAGGCAGAGUUCGCAAGACGUUUAAAGAAUGAGGCAGAGUUCGCAAGACGUUUAUAAGACUGUUGGCUGAGGGCUCUAUCUGCCACACUGAUGGCAAGACUUGCUAGGUUUUAACAGAGCUAUACUUAAACAUGUGUUCUAUAUUGAAGUACACUGAAACAUUCUGAAUAAAUGUUUACUCUAUU